GACGAACGCUGGUGGCGUGCUUAACACAUGCAAGUCGAACGAAGUGGCGAACGGGUGAGUAACGCGUAAGCAACCUGCCCUUCAGAGGGGGAAAACAGUUGGAAACGACGGCUAAUACCGCAUACGGAAGGAGGGGAAUGCGUUGGAUUGGCUAGUUGGAGGGGUAACGGCCCAACAAGGCGAUGAUAGGUAGCCAGUCUGAGAGGAUGACCUGCCACAUUGGGACUGGGACACGGCCCAGAAUCCUACGGGAGGCAGCAGUGGGGAAUCUUCCGCAAUGGACGAAAGUCGGACGGAGCAACGCCGCGUGAGUGAUGACGGCCUUCGGGUUGUAAAGCUCUGUUAAUCGGGACGCGGUACCGGAAUAGAAAGCCACGGCUAACUACGUGCCAGCAGCCGCGGUAAUAC
rnacentral:rRNA from 1 species